UACAGAGGUCUCAAGCGUUGUUCGGAUUCAUUGGGCGUAAAGGGUGCGUAGGCGGCGGGGUAAGUUUGAUGUGAAAUCCCGGGGCUCAACCCUGGAAUUGCAUUGAAUACUACCUUGCUAGAGUACCGGAGAGGAAACUGGAAUUUACGGUGUAGCAGUGAAAUGCGUAGAGAUCGUAAGGAAGACCAGUGGCGAAGGCGAGUUUCUGGACGGUAGCUGACGCUGAGGCACGAAGGCCAGGGGAGCAAAACGGGG
rnacentral:rRNA from 1 species